UGGGGAAUAUUGGACAAUGGGCGCAAGCCUGAUCCAGCAAUGCCGCGUGUGUGAAGAAGGCCUUCGGGUUGUAAAGCACUUUAGGCUGGGAAGAAAAAGCUUCACCUAAUACGUGGAGCCUUGACGGUACCGGCGAAAUAAGCACCGGCUAACUCUGUGCCAGCAGCCGCGGUAAUACAGAGGGUGCUAGCGUUAAUCGGAUUUACUGGGCGUAAAGCGUGUGUAGGCGGUUUGCUAAGUCGGGUGUGAAAUCCCUGGGCUCAACCUGGGAAUUGCAUUCGAUACUGGCAGGCUAGAGUACGGUAGAGGGCGGCGGAAUUCCGGGUGUAGCGGUGAAAUGCGUAGAUAUCCGGAGGAACACCGAUGGCGAAGGCAACCGCCUGGGCCUGUACUGACGCUGAGACACGAAAGCGUGGGGAGCAAACAGGAUUAGAUACCCCUGUAGUCC
rnacentral:rRNA from 1 species